rnacentral:misc_RNA from 1 species
GGCACAGGAUUUAAUUCCAAAAUCUAGAGCAGCCAAUAUUGCGAAUGAGUUACAUGCAUAUGGACAUAAUCACAAUCAAGAUAAAUUCAAAUAUCUUACUCAAGUAGAAAUAAUUAUUAUGAUCACAAACUGAUUUUCACAGAUUAGAUCCAUUAACAGUCAGAUAGCCCAAAUAAAUGACCAAACACCUUCCCACGGCCAUGUCCCCCACCACAAAGUUCAAAUGGAUCGAGAGGACAAGAAUUAUAGUUAGGCUCCUUAUUAUUGAAUUAAGUCCAUAUCAAAUUUAUCACAAUCAUAUGAAAU